AAUCCUUGGUGCGGGCAUUUUAGGAACAAUGUCUUGAAAUGUUCCCAAGCUUUAUAAAGACUUUCCCCUUCCAGUUGUCUAAACAUGGCAAUCUCUUUUCCUACGUGGACU
rfam:Gossypium arboreum cultivar AKA8401 contig_6397_7, whole genome shotgun sequence.